UACAAAGGAGGAGCUAUUGCAUCAUACUAAGAGUACAGAAAGCCAAGAAGGCCAAACAACAAAUCAAACACGGUGUGGUAGAUGCAUAUACUAUGCCGUGGGGCAUAACAGUCAUACUGUGCUUUUUUUGUUCACAGUGGACCUUAAAGCUAGGGAGGAAACUCUAUAGCAACUUCAACUAUUUUGAGAAGGGCAAGGAAGGUGAAAAGAGAAAUAGGAAAGCAGGAAAAGUACCACAAUCCUGUUGUACAACACUCAGCAGCCCUGAAGGCACGAAUGCAACAAGGACUCAGUAUUUCUCUGCACUGAAUACUCUCUCUUUCUGAUUCUUGGUGCUGGCUGUGGCUUGAGAAAUGUUAAGAAACAGGUAACGGAGAUUGUCUGGUAUGCCCUAUGAAAUGUAGAGAAACUACUCCCAAGCAGCUCACAAAAGCAGAAGGAGCAAGAAGUGCACACUCAAUGAAGGCUGAAACGUGUUUACAGAGGCCAACAGGAAAUCCAUUUGAAUGCUCACUUUGAAAUAAAGAGAUGAGACAAUUAAAGACCAUCCAGGAAGAGGUGAGCCUACUUUCAUGAAAUGUUGCUGCUCUUCUCAAAUGUGUAGAUUUCUCUUUUAAAAUCCUGUUAUUUUAACUAUUAAAGACCAUUACACUACCAAAAUGUUGUCAACAGCUGCAACAAGCUAGAAAUAAGGAAGGAUUUUGUUUGGUUUACAUGUUUAAAUGAACCAAUUGAGAUUACACUUCCCAGUCUGAUGUAUAGAUUAAACACAGUUAUAUUUUGGAUUACACAUUUCUCCAAUGUGUUUUUGUUGGAGAUGUCUUCUUCUCAAGAAUCUUUAAAAGGAAAUUGUCAGAAUGUCUGUAUGUAUAGGAAAUGUUGUACAAAUGUGUGUUUGAUGGCUUUUUAAAAAAAAAUUGAGGACUCAUAGUUUCUAGUGGUGACUCAUUCCUUUUUGGUUAACUGUAAUUCAAUAAAAUCUUUAUUGCAUUUUCCAGUGUUUCCAACAAAACUGCCAAGUUUAUAUCUGAACAUAUCAAUGGAAUAGACAUUCCAUGUCUUUUGCUACUGUUGAGUUCUGAGUAUUAUUUACUUGAUUAUAAAGCCCAGUUUGAUGGGACACAAUCACUAUUCUGUUCUCCAUUACCCACCCAAAGCUGUAUUACUCAGAGAUCUCUUUGAAUAAAUAAAAUGACCUAAUGAGUUAGUUCUCUGCCAUGGAAUUCAAAUGCCUGUAUUAAAAUGUCAAACCAAACUCACCCUCUUGCCCCUAGCCUUUUUAUUUGACUAAAAAGACAGAAGAAAGAAGCAACUUGAACCAUGACUUAAGCCUAGUUUACUCAUUGUGCACAAAGAGGAGAUGGGUGAAUAGGUCAUUUUACUGUAUGUGCAUAUCACAACACCCAGCUCCAUUCCAUGUACACAUGUCCAAGCCUUGUUUUGCUACUGAACCAUCCCAAACUCAGCAAAAAGCAAACACCCUCGCUCAUUCUGCACACAAGAGGCAUGCGAAUGAUAUGAAGUCUUUUGUACUU